UACGGAGGGUGCAAGCGUUGUUCGGAAUCACUGGGCGUAAAGGGCGUGUAGGUGGCUAAUUAAGUCAGGUGUGAAAUCCUUCCGCUUAACGGGAGAAGUGCACUUGAAACUGCUUAGCUAGAGUACGGGAGAGGAAGGUGGAAUUCCUGGUGUAGAGGUGAAAUUCAUAGAUAUCGGGAAGAACACCGGUGGCGAAGGCGGCCUUCUGGCCCGAUACUGACGCUGAGACGCGAAAGCGUGGGGAG
rnacentral:rRNA from 1 species